UACGUAGGGGCAAGCGUUGUCCGGAAUUAUUGGGCGUAAAGGGCGCGUAGGCGGCGUGGUAAGUCACUUGUGAAAUCUCUGAGCUUAACUCAGAACGGCCAAGUGAUACUGCUGUGCUAGAGUGCAGAAGGGGCAAUCGGAAUUCUUGGUGUAGCGGUGAAAUGCGUAGAUAUCAAGAGGAACACCGGUGGCGAAGGCGGGUCUCUGGGCCGAUACUGACGCUGGAGGAGCGAAAAGCGUGGGGAGCGAACAGG
rnacentral:rRNA from 1 species